CCCUUAGACGUUCUGGGCCGCACGCGCGCUACACUGACGAAGGCAACGAGCUUUCCUUUACCGAAAGGUACGGGUAAUCUUUUGAAACUUCGUUGUGCUGGGGAUAGAUCCUUGCAAUUAUUGAUCUUAAACGAGGAAUUCCUAGUAAGCGCAAGUCAUCAACUUGCGUUGAUUACGUCCCUGCCCUUUGUACACACCGCCCGUCGCUACUACCGAUUGAAUGGUUUAGUGAGGCCUUCGGAUCCGCGACUCGUUUUGUGGAGAAGUUGGACAAACUCAGUCAUUUAGAGGAAGUAAAAGUCGUAACA
rnacentral:rRNA from 1 species